rnacentral:rRNA from 1 species
CCCUUAGAUGUUCUGGGCUGCACGCGCGCUACACUGAAGCGUUCAACGAGUAUUCACCUUGCCCGGGAGGGUUGGGUAAUCUUUUGAAAACGCUUCGUGAUGGGGAUAGAUUAUUGCAAUUAUUAAUCUUCAACGAGGAAUUCCUAGUAAGCGCGAGUCAUCAGCUCGUGCUGAUUACGUCCCUGCCCUUUGUACACACCGCCCGUCGCUCCUACCGAUUGGGUGAUCCGGUGAAUAAUUCGGACUGCAGCACUGCUUGGUCUCCAGGCUUUGCAGCGGAAAGUUUAGUGAACCUUAUCACUUAGAGGAAGGAGAANUCGUANCA